GAUGAACGCUAGCGAUAGGCCUAACACAUGCAAGUCGAGGGGCAUCACAUGAAGUAGCAAUACGGAUGGUGGCGACCGGCGCACGGGUGAGUAACACGUAUGCAACCUGCCUUCAACAAGGGGAUAACCCGUUGAAAGACGGACUAAUACCCUAUAACACAGGGGUCCCGCAUGGGAAUAUUUGUUAAAGGACAACUGGUUGAAGAUGGGCAUGCGUUCCAUUAGCUAGUUGGCGGGUAACGGCCCACCAAGGCAACGAUGGAUAGGGGAACUGAGAGGUUUAUCCCCCACACUGGUACUGAGGACACGGACCAGACUCCUACGGGAGGCAGCAGUGAGGAAUAUUGGUCAAUGGACGCAAGUCUGAACCAGCCACGUCGCGUGAAGGAAGACGGCCCUACGGGUUGUAAACUUCUUUUGCAGGGGAAUAAAUGAGCCACGUGUGGUUUUUUGUAUGUACUCUGCGAAU
rnacentral:rRNA from 1 species